UUCCAGCUAAGCACACUUCACCUUUGUGAAGUCGCCCUUAACUGUGUUUGUUCCUCUUCCGUAGUGACUUAUUACCCACUCUCCGGAUGCUGCACCUGACCAAGGAAUUUAGGCUGUUUUUUUCUGUAUGAAGGGAGACCGUUAAAAAUUCCUACUGCAUAGGGUUUUUUUUUCCCCUGGGGGGAGGGGCUAUAAAGAGUAUAUGCAAAGCAGUUAGCACGAUGUCUAAUAUUAGGAAGUGACAAGUGAAUGUGUUAAAAAUAACGACAGGCCAGUCAGGCACAGUCAUUUGCAGAGACGUUAUUGCCCCCAUGGAGACAGGAAUACAAAAGAGGGAGUUUGAGGCAUGAUGCUUUGAGUCAUCUCAAAGGGCGCACUUGCAGCCUUAAGAACUCAUUCUCCUGCUGUCACACUCGAUGAUGUUCUGUCCUUCCUGAUUUAGCCACUCAUCCCCUGUCACCGCACCAACCCACACAGAAAAAAUCUGAUGACGACUCGUGGGACACUUACCUCAAACAAGACACUGUUCUAGAUCCUAGGGACACCAGCUAAUUGUACAGCUUGCAUCAGCAUAGGAAGAGACAGGAAGGAAGUGAAGGCCAAUGGACCGCAGCAAGAGAACACACACUAACACACCACGCUGCCCAACCCAGGACAGCCGCCAUCUCCCAAGGCCUGAGACCGCAGGUGUGCGUUCCACCACACGCAGCCAUCCUUGAAUCGUUAACAGGCAGAUCACCUGGAUGUGCCCUGAACCCCAGCUCUUUGCCUGUUUCCUGGAAGAUCGGAUUGACACAGAUGGUUCCCAGACAUGACUCUCUCCCUCCGUGGCUUUAGAUAAAUAAAUUAAACUUU
rnacentral:sRNA from 1 species